rnacentral:rRNA from 1 species
UACGUAGGUGACAAGCGUUGUCCGGAUUUACUGGGCGUAAAGAGCGCGCAGGCGGUCGUUCAAGUCGAGUGUGAAAGCCCCCGGCUCAACUGGGGAGGGUCACUCGAUACUGAUCGACUUGAGGGCAGGAGAGGGAAGCGGAAUUCCCGGUGUAGUGGUGAAAUGCGUAGAUAUCGGGAGGAACACCAGUGGCGAAGGCGAUCUUCUGGACGGAUACUGACGCUGGGGCGCGAAAGCGUGGGGAGCGAACAGG